GGCAUAGUUCAGUGGAAGAGCAUCUGUUUUGCAUGCAGAAUGUACCAGGUUAAAUCCUCUAGGGAGAACCA